ACGGCUCAGUAACACGUCGAUAACGUACCCUGAAGCCUGGGAUAACCUUGGGAAACUGAGGAUAAUACCGGAUCGGGAAUGGGGUGUGGAAUCCUCCCAUUCUUCAAAGCUUCGGCACUUCAGGAUCGGUCGGCGGUCCAUCAGGUUGUUGGUGAGGUAAUGGCUCACCAAGCCUAUGACGGAUAAGGGCCAUGAGAGUGGUUGCCCUGAGAGGGACACUGAGAUACUGGUCCCAGCCCCACGGGGUGCAGCAGUCGCGAAAACUCCGCAAUGCGCGCAAGCGUGACGGGGGGAUUCUGAGUGCUUCGGUCUAACCGAGGCUUUUCGUGAGGGUACAAACCUCGCGGAAUAAGUGGUGGGCAAGACUGGUGCCAGCCGCCGCGGUAACCCCAGCGCCACAAGUGGGAACCACGUUUAUUGGGUCUAAAGCAUCCGUAGCCGGCUUGUUAAAUGCCCUGUGAAAUCGUUCUGCUCAACAGGACGGCGUGCAGGGUAGACUGGCAAGCUUAGAACCAGGAAAGGUAUGCGGUAUUCUGUGGGGAGCGGUAAAAUGCUAUAAUCCACAGAGGACCACCGAUGGCGAAGGCAGCAUACUUGAAUGGAUUCGACGGUGAGGGAUGAAAGCUAGGGGAGCGAUCCGGAUUAGAUACCCGAGUAGUCCUAGCCGUAAACGCUGCGUGCAAGAUGUUGCACAAUCUUCGAGAUUGUGCAGUGUCGUAACGAAGGUGUUAAGCACGCCACCUGGGAAGUACGGUCGCAAGGCUGAAACUUAAAAGGAAUUGGGCGGGGGGGGAG
rnacentral:rRNA from 1 species